rnacentral:rRNA from 1 species
GCCUACGGCCAUACCAGUCUGAAAGUGCCUUUUCUCGUCAGAUCUCAGAAGUCAUGCAGACUUGGGCAUGCUUAGUACUUGUAUGGGAUACCAAUUAGGAACAUCAGAUGCUGUAAGCU